GGGAGGCAGCACUGGGGAAUAUUGGACAAUGGGGGGAACCCUGAUCCAGCCAUAUCGCGUGUGUGAAGAAGGCCUUUUGGUUGUAAAGCACUUUAAGCGAGGAGGAGGCUACCGAGAUUAAUACUCUUGGAUAGUGGACGUUACUCGCAGAAUAAGCACCGGCUAACUUUGUGCCAGCAGCCGCGGUAAUACAGAGGGUGCAAGCGUUAAUUGGAUUUUCUGGGGGUAAAGCGCGGGUAGGUGGCCAAUUAAGUCAAAUGUGAAAUUCCCGAGCUUAACCUGGGAAUUGCAUUCGAUACUGGUUGGCUAGAGUAUGGGAGAGGAUGGUAGAAUUUCAGGUGUAACCAUGAAAAGGGUAGAAAUUUGGAGGAAUCCCGAUGGCGAAGGCAACCAUUUGGCCUAAUACUGACAGUGAGGUCAGAAAGCAUGGGGAGCAAACCGGAUUAGAUACCCUGGUAGUUCCUCCCCUAAACGAUGUUUACUAGCCGUUGGGGCCUUUGAGGCUUCAGUGGCGCAGCUAACGCGAUAAGUAGA
rnacentral:rRNA from 1 species